rnacentral:ncRNA from 1 species
UUGAGGAAAGAUUUGAACUGAUUGCAACCUCGUAAAAAAUGCUAAAGCAGUAU